UACGUAGGGUGCAAGCGUUGUCCGGAUUUAUUGGGCGUAAAGAGCUCGUAGGCGGUGUGUCACGUCGGCCGUGAAAACCUGCAGCUUAACUGUGGGCGUGCGGUCGAUACGGGCAUCACUGGAGUUCGGCAGGGGAGACUGGAAUUCCUGGUGUAGCGGUGAAAUGCGCAGAUAUCAGGAGGAACACCGGUGGCGAAGGCGGGUCUCUGGGCCGAUACUGACGCUGAGGAGCGAAAGCGUGGGGAGCGAACAGG
rnacentral:rRNA from 1 species